rnacentral:rRNA from 1 species
GAUGAACGCUGGCGGCGUGCCUAAUACAUGCAAGUCGAGCGAGCGGACGAGAAGCUUGCUUCUCUGAUGUUAGCGGCGGACGGGUGAGUAACACGUGGAUAACCUACCUAUAAGACUGGGAUAACUUCGGGAAACCGGAGCUAAUACCGGAUAAUAUUUUGAACCGCAUGGUUCAAAAGUGAAAGACGGUCUUGCUGUCACUUAUAGAUGGAGCCGCGCUGCAUUAGCUAGUUGGUAAGGUAACGGCUUACCAAGGCAACGAUGCAUAGCCGACCUGAGAGGGUGAUCGGCCACACUGGAACUGAGACACGGUCCAGACUCCUACGGGAGGCAGCAGUAGGGAAUCUUCCGCAAUGGGCGAAAGCCUGACGGCGCACCGCCGCGUGAGUGAUGAAGGUCUUCGGAUCGUAAAACUCUGUUAUUAGGGAAGAACAUAUGUGUAAGUAACUGUGCACAUCUUGACGGUACCUAAUCAGAAAGCCCCGGCUAACUACGUG